ensembl:misc_RNA Y_RNA Y RNA
GGCUGGUCCGAGUGCAGUGGUGUUUACAAUUAAUUGAUCACAUCAGUUACAGUUACAAAUAUUCUUUUCCCCCAUGACACAGGCCCAGGAGAUCCUGAGAACAUGUGUCCCUUGUUACAGAUUUCUUUGUCCUUCUCUACUCCCACUGCUUCACGUUUCUAGCAUAAA